GUGGCCGAGUGGUUAAGGCGAUAGACUUGAAAUCCAUUGGGGUCUCCCCGCACAGGUUCGAAUCCUGUC
rnacentral:tRNA from 1 species